GCCGCCGUAGCUCAGCCUGGUCAGAGCGCCGGACUCAUAAUCCGGUUGUCGCGGGUUCAAAUCCCGCCGGCGGCACCA
rnacentral:tRNA from 1 species